UACGAAGGGGGCUAGCGUUGUUCGGAUUUACUGGGCGUAAAGCGCACGUAGGCGGAUUGGUCAGUUAGGGGUGAAAUCCUGGAGCUCAACUCCAGAACUGCCUUUAAUACUGCCGAUCUCGAGUCCGGAAGAGGUAAGUGGAACUCCUAGUGUAGAGGUGGAAUUCGUAGAUAUUAGGAAGAACACCAGUGGCGAAGGCGGCUUACUGGUCCGGUACUGACGCUGAGGUGCGAAAGCGUGGGGAGCAAACAGG
rnacentral:rRNA from 1 species